rnacentral:rRNA from 1 species
CAGCAGCCGCGGGAAUACAGAGGAUGCAAGCGUUAUCCGGAAUGGUUGGGCGUAAAGCGUGCGCAGGCGGUUAUAUAAGUCAGUUGUGAAAUCCCCGGGCUCAACCUGGGAACUGCAUUUGAGACUGUAUGGCUAGAGUGUGUCAGAGGGGGGUAGAAUUCCACGUGUAGCAGUGAAAUGCGUAGAUAUGUGGAGGAAUACCGAUGGCGAAGGCAGCCCCCUGGAAUAACACUGACGCUCAUGCACGAAAGCGUGGGGAGCAAACAGGAUUAGAUACCCCUGUAGUCCCUGUCUCUUAUAC